UACAGGGGUCUCAAGCGUUGUUCGGAUUCAUGGGGCGUAAAGGGCGCGUAGGCGGCCUGCUAAGUGGGAUGUGAAAUCCCUCGGCUCAACCGAGGAACUGCAUCCGAUACUGGCGGGCUUGAAUCCGGGAGAGGGAUGUGGAAUUCCAGGUGUAGCGGUGAAAUGCGUAGAUAUCUGGAGGAACACCGGUGGCGAAGGCGGCAUCCUGGACCGGUAUUGACGCUGAGGCGCGAAAGCUAGGGGAGCAAACGGG
rnacentral:rRNA from 1 species